UACAGAGGUGGCAAGCGUUGUUCGGAAUUACUGGGCGUAAAGGGCGCGUAGGUGGCCUUCUUAGUCAGACGUGAAAUCCCCGGGCUUAACUCGGGAACUGCGUCUGAUACUGGAAGGCUGGAGUUCGGGAGAGGAAUGUGGAAUUCCAGGUGUAGCGGUGAAAUGCGUAGAUAUCGGAAGGAACAUCAGUGGCGAAGGCGACUUCCUGGACCAAUACUGACACUCAGGUGCGAAAGCGUGGGGAGCAAACAGG
rnacentral:rRNA from 1 species